rnacentral:rRNA from 1 species
GACGAACGCUGGCGGCGUGCUUAACACAUGCAAGUCGAACGGAAAGGCCCCUUUGUGGUUGCUCGCGUGACUGACGGGCGGGUAAGACAUACGUGACUAACCCUUCCCUUCCGGUUAACUUCCUUCAACUAGCUCUAAUACCUGCUGGGUAUGCUCUCCUCCUGCUGGGGGUGGGUAGGAUUCGGGGGUUUGGGGUGGACUCGCGGCUUGUCUGUCUGGUGGUGGGGUAGUUGCUUGCCUAGGCUUUGUCUGGUGGGCGGCCUGGGUGGGCGGCCGGCCACAUUGGGACUGAGGUACGGCCCCGACUCCUACGGGGGGCAGCAGUGGGGAAUAAUGCACAAUGGGCGGGAGCCGGAUGCAGCAACGCCGCGUGCGGGAUGACGGCCUUCGGGUUGUAAACCGCUUUCAGCAGGGGCGGAGCUGGUGGUGACGGUAACUGCAGAAGAAGCACCGGCUAACUACGUG